GCGGUGCAGUCGGCCCCUCCCACAAGCAGCCAACUGUCAGUCAGCGACCGUUAGUGGCCCAUUCAGCCAGCGGUCAGAGGAGUGGUGGUUGUCAGCCAGAGAGUGAGCAAGUUUGGCUUUUGAGGAAAAAGGAGGAAGCCCAAUUCCGCCACAGCACCCACUUCCCAUUUUUCUUAAGGUCCAUGGGGUUACCCAGGAUUGCUUCAUGGUCAAAAGAUGGCUGUUGGAGAUCCAGUCUUCAUGUCUCAAACAGGAAGAAGAAGAAAGGGCCAAAUGCAAAUAGAUAUGUAAUAGUAGGGUAUACCCUCUUUGAAUCAGUUUCCCAGAAGUGAUACACCAAGGUUUCUAGAUCCUUUGGGAGGUUUACUUCUCACUGACAUUUGAUCGUUAUAACUCUGUGAUCAGCAAAAACAUCCAAUUCUACAGAGUUCUGUGGAAGCAGAAUGGGACUGAAUAAUCUAUGAUAACUAGAAUUAAAUAAAAUUGGACCAAAAUGAUGUUAAGCAUUGUUAAAGAGGAUUUGAGAGUACACAAUUGGAGAUAAAUUUGUGUUUGAUACCCUGCAAACUGGGACUUCUUAAUAAACCGAGUGUAAUUUGAG